GGCGUCAGCGUGGGCUCCCCGGAGUAAGUCGCUAGGUAACCGAGCUCCGCAGACCGAGAAGUGGGGAAGCCCGAGCUGCUCGUCACCCUGAAGGCAGGAGGGGGCGCAGGAACCACCACUCUUCCGCGCCCUCCAUCUCCAACCAGGCACUCCAGGAUUGCCCCCAUCUCAGAUACGGGUGCACACACACACACACACACACACACACACACAAAGAAGCAUGCUCCCCAUCCCCACCUUCCUUCCGAUGCACUGACCUGUUCCAUUCCCCUACUCUUCUGGAGAGAAGGCAAGAGAGGACCUUCCACCUACUCUAUCCCCAUCCCAGGGAUCCCGACAUUGCAAACCACUCUCCCCAGCUGCUUGGCAGCCGCGGCUCUGCCAGUUCCCCCAACUUAGUUGGGCCCUCGGAAGCUGAGGUGGUCUCUCCUGCAUCUUUCGGUGCCUCUGCUGCUGCUGCUACCGCCGCCGCCGCCUUUGCCGCUACUGCUGUUGCUGUUGUUCUUGGCGUCGGUAAGAUGGUUCCCAAAUUCGUUUAAUGGAUGUGGGUUAUUGGCGCAACCCAGAGAAGCAACAAUACAAACUCGCUGCGUGGGAAAGUUUUCGGUGUUUUCUGAAGAUUGCCCGGUCAUCAGAAAAAUCUAGGAGCCCUCAUGGGUGAGGAUGGUUCUCCUAAGUCUGUGUGAUGACCCCAGAAGCUGGGCAUGAAGAUCCCCUGGGAACAGCAGGGAAAUGGUAGUGCUUACCUGAGAUUUCACUGGAGGAAAAACCUGUCCAGGAGAAGAAAAUGAAAUGAACUCUGGGGAUCUGGCACCCAGUGGCUGUCUGAAACCUACAGAAAACUUGUCCCUUUGUCCAGGAGAAUGGUGCUGAAGCUGCCUGCCCAAUUCACAGGAUACCUGGAUGCCAUGCUCAGCCCAAUGUCUGCAGAAUGCUCCCUGCCCCUCUCCUCUUCCUGAUGCACUGCAUGAAGUAAACAUCUAAAGAUAUAAAACUUCCCCUAAGGACUGCUUUGGCUGCAUCCCAUAAAUUUUGAUUAACCUAAGGAGGAGGAUAAAGAACUUGGCCACCAAGAUGGUAAUCACUAGUGGUAAUGAAGAAGACAGAGGCAGCCAAGAAAAGGAAAACAAAGAAGAAAGUAUCCUGGCAAUGCUAGGAAUUAUUGGGACCAUCCUAAACCUCAUUGUCAUCAUCUUUGUGUAUAUUUACACAACUUUGUGAAGGACAGAACAGAGAGGGAUCUUUCUGCUGAGACACUGCAGACUUCUGCAGGGAAAAGAAAUUGGUUCUGAAGUGAAGCCCAAACAUCAUAGCUGUCCACAUCCUGCAAGAUCAAAUGACCCUUUGAAGUCUUCAAACAGAUCAUCAACAGAACACACCAAUCUGCAGAUAGCAGACACAAAAGCACAAUGGAUUAAUGGGUGUAAGGAAUCACCAAAGCAGAAGCCUGAUGGGAUUUAUGAGGUCAAGCAGAACAGUGCAUUAACACAUCUAACAUAGGACUAUGUGAACACAGAUUGUGUCCUCUCAAAAAUCAACACUGUCUUCACCACUGGUCAAACUUUUUGAGCUUCUUUGUCCCAUAACUGAAGAAUUCAUAUAGUGGGAGUGAUUUUAGACCAAUUAUUUAUCAACAAUCCCAUUAAUACCACGAGUCUUAGGUUUGUUACUGAGAGGAUCGGGGGAGGGGGGGAGAAUAUUUUUUCUUUUUUUUUCUUUGGUCUGACAUAUAUAUCAGUUCAUGGUGGUAUUUACAAAUUUCUAUUUUUAAUAAAUGUGUUAUUUUUAUUAGCAUGGACCAAACAUCUAGAGAGAUCCCCUUGGAUGUCCAAAGUUUGAUUUGGUUUUCUGAAAUGAUCCCUUGAUGAUAUGUCCUUUCCUAUAGAAGUUAUGACUCUAUUUAUUGCCUCUUUAAUCUCUUUUACUUCUUUUGUUCCAAACCAUUUUAAAACAGUAUCAACCUCAGCCUUGAUUAGUGCAUGACUUCAGAUGAAGCAGUCUAUGGUGAGGCUUUUUAUGGAACUGUAAGAAAUAUAAAAAUAUUAUGGGCAUGCAGACCUGAGAUGCAUGCUAUUUUGACUGAAGAUUAUGCAUGAACAAGGUCUGUGUGAUGGGUCAAUCAGAAACAAACACUGAAGACUGCUGGAAGAAACAUGACUGUUUAAAGAUCCAAUCUUUAAUUGAUUUUUUUAAAGAAAGUACUCAUAUAACAUCUAAUUCUUAAUAGAGUUAUUUAUAAUUCCAUCAUCACAAUAACCAAUUUAUCAUAUCAUGAUUUAAAUUACAGAUACAUUGAGAUAAGUCAGUCAGAUAUAUCAGGACAUUGCAAGAAGAAUGGUAAAAAAGGAAAUAGGUUAAUUUUAAAAUAGAGAUAGUCAGCCAAAUCCUGCCAAUAAUCUCCCUAAGAGGUCUCUAAGCACCAUGGGGCAUAUAUUAACUCACUCAGGGGACCAUUUACAUAAAUGACUUCUCCAUUGCAUUAAAUGGUACCCACUAAUGCCCUGACAUAUAUUUGUAAAUUGCCUGAUUUCACAUCCCAGAAGUUUGUUCUCUGACAAAAUUUGGAUAUAUUGACAUUAAUUGCCCAAUCUCUCCUAGAAUACAUAAGAAUAUUCCAUAAGAAUGGCACUUCACUCUCACUUAAGACUGGCCUUCCAUAUAAGUGAAAUUAACAAUUAUUUACAUAGUAAAAUUUUUAGGGAGGAAAGACCUGCCCAAAAAUUAUUCAUCUAACAAAUGAAACACACCUACUAUUCUACCAUUGGAGAUAGUUUUUCUUUUGGAUUCUUACCCUAAUCUGGAUUUUUUUAAAAUACAAAUAUUCUUGGAAUUUUGACACAUAGAAGAGAUUGAACUAAAUAAUCUCUCACUCUAAGAUUCUGUAAUUCAGUCUUCAACUAAUUCAUUCUAAGGUAUAAAUGUCUUUUCUCCUAACAAAUCCUGGGUGAUGUAAAACAAACAAAACAAAACAAAACAACAAUAACAAAAAAAAGAAAUCCAACAUCUGGUACCUAGAACAAGAAAAGGUCCAGAAAGGGGAUAUGACAGGCUUAAAAGACAAGUUUCACCUACUUCGCAAUUUUACCAAGGGCUGACUCUUCUCACUCCAAACCAACCCAAACCCAGGGAACAAUAUGAAUAUUGAAUAGCAUGAAAAUCAGCAGCAGUAUUCAUAAAGACUGAUUAGGAAUAGGAUUGAAAGAGCAAAGGAGGGUCAUGUGAUAUGAUUAUGGAAAGUGUGUAAAAAUGCUAAUGGCAAACUACAG
rnacentral:lncRNA from 1 species